rnacentral:rRNA from 1 species
CCUACGGGAUGCAGCAGUAGGGAAUCUUCCACAAUGGGCGAAAGCCUGAUGUAGCAACGCCGCGUGGGUGAAGAAGGUCUUCGGAUCGUAAAACCCUGUUGUUAGAGAAGAAAGUGCGUGAGAGUAACUGUUCACGUUUCGACGGUAUCUAACCAGAAAGCCACGGCUAACUACGUGCCAGCAGCCGCGGUAAUACGUAGGUGGCAAGCGUUAUCCGGAUUUAUUGGGCGUAAAGGGAACGCAGGCGGUCUUUUAAGUCUGAUGUGAAAGCCUUCGGCUUAACCGGAGUAGUGCAUUGGAAACUGGGAGACUUGAGUGCAGAAGAGGAGAGUGGAACUCCAUGUGUAGCGGUGAAAUGCGUAGAUAUAUGGAAGAACACCAGUGGCGAAAGCGGCUCUCUGGGCUGUAACUGACGCUGAGGUUCGAAAGCGUGGGUAGCAAACAGGAUUAGAUACCCUUGUAGUC